ACCCCUAGCCACAUGGAUGAUGCUGUGCUGCCAGCAAUGGGAAGAAAUUAAAACACUCCUCAUGCAGACCCAGAAAACAUGCCUCCUCCAAGGAUUCCGUUCCACCUGCUGGUCGGCAAGGCCGCCCACUCCCUCUGUGGGGGAUAUUUUCCUGGCUCCAUUUAGCUGGUGUUUGCCCCCAGUGAGGGCCCUCCACGUGGGAGAGGAAGAAAUUGACCCAGGAACCAAGCCUGAGACAGAAGCACCCAGUGUCCACCUUUGUACUGUGCAGAGCUGCAAUGCACUCCUGUCUGUUUUUCCAGGGAUUUUUUUCCACCCACCUUUGAAACAGUAAAGUGUUCUCUUUUGACAGGCUGGCCUAAUGGGAAGGUUGACCUGAUUUCCACUCUCCUACCGAAAAGUGACAAUGCAGCUGCCGGGCCAAGGAGGGACGUUGUGUGACCAGUUCAGAGGCAGGAGUUCACGCGGCUGCAGUGACCCUCUGCAAAAGGAAGCAACUGGACAUUUCCUCUACACAUUGUCUCUUUUGAAAAGUUCCAAGCAGAUGCUCGCCCACCCACCAAGGCUGAGGCCGAAGAAAAUUCUCCGAUGACAAGGCUCUGCAGGUGCCGUACAGAGCAAGUACUUUUCAGACAGCUGACGGAGCCCAGAGCAAGCUUCCCCCGGAGCAUCCAAAGGGGCCACUUGGCUGCGGUCGCCAUCACGAGAACAACAGGAAACUGAGCAGGGGCUGCGCUCGUCCUGGGCAGGACAACUCUCCAUUUCCCUUCAGGCCUGGCAUUGUUUUGCUGAUGGAAGAAAAGUGGAAUGGGGCGUGAUCACACUGCCGGCUCAGCAGCUGGAAAGCUCGUGUUGGCUUAAAUGUGCACAAGAUGUCCUCUGGUUGCUGGAUUUGGCUUCUUUGAUGACUGCAUUGCCCUGAGACUGGACCCCAGAGAAUCUCUUAAUUUUUGGGUGCUUUGACGGUUAAUCACUGAACAACAAAGAAUCGCUCAAUAACUGGAUGCCUAUCUAAAAACACUUCUCAACCUCCUUUGCAUAUAGACAUGACCAACAUGCUGAAGUCAAUGUGUAGGGGUUUCCAGGAAGUCUCUUUAAGAAGAACCAAUUCACCUGCAAGAAGGAUGAUGAAGUCUUCUGCCCCGAGAUCCUGAGAGAACAGUGGGCUUAGUGGAAACACCACACACCUGGCUGGGUCUUGUCAGGUGGAGACGCUGAGGGGCUGUUUCUUUCCAGUCCCGGAAGACGCAGAAUUCUCUCUCGGCAGCUUUGCUCGGCCUGCAUCUGAGCGAGAAAGAUACCACAUCCCAGAGUUGCUGUGAGCUUCAAACGAGACGAGAUAUGUAGAAGUGCCAGGCAGAUAAAAACCGGUUCUACAACUCUAGGAGGACGGCAGAGAACAGACUUCUGUCUCGAGCACCUGCCCUGUUUAGGCUUCCCAGCAGCAGGUCAACAGCAUCUCCCGUUGCCUCCUGCUUCCAAGGUAAGUUUCCCAACUCCCCUUGCAGGAAGGCGGGAGCAUAUCAUGCCCGGGUUCAGGAGGAGGCAGUGUGGGUGCAGGGUGUUGGUGUUGGGUGAGGGUGUUGCUGGAGGGAUCUGUGGGUUCUGUCACAAGUACCGCAGCCGGUCAUAGCACUGUGAUGCCGCCUCCCGGAGGCCUUUGCUGGAGGGCACUCCAGUGGGAUCUAGGCAUUGCUCCUGGUUUCCACACGUCCCACAGACAAUGUGAGAAGAAGUCUUGAAUAAAUUCCCUUUUCUGCAUCAGCUUCCUAAAGUGGGUUCUGUUAUUGCAACUACAAAUCCUGACUCACGCACCGUCCCACAGGGCGGUUCCAAAGAAGAAUCAUGGUUGUGAGUUGCUUGGCGAAACACUCCGCACACAGUAGGUACCCUGUAUAUAAUUGUUGAAUGAAUUAAUUAAAGAAUGAAUUAAUGGAAAUAAAGCACAGGGCAAGGUGUCCAGCCCCUGGGAACUAGUCACUAACUAUGUGUUAUUAGGACUGAUCACGACGAUUAUAAAAUAAUUAUAAUGCAGCCUUGAAAAUAGCCACCAGCCUGUGUGCAUCUGGGCAGCCAAAGAAAAUAUGAGUCACCGCCAUAACCAUCAGGUCUAUUGCCAACUUCCGGGCCCAGGUAGAAUUUCUCUGUGGCUUUAAGGUUCAGGCAACUAAAUAUGUGGAGAAGUGAUAUCUGUCAGGCUGGAGGCUUUAUGUCCGGGGUGCAAUUUACCACGACUUCUUUUGUCUCUGCCAUGGUGGCUGGCAACAUCUGAAUGCUGGUGGUGUGACAGCUCUCCACAGAAGCACAGUAGAAAAACAAAAUCAAGGUUGCACAAAAGAGGGUUGUGUGUUCUUGUGGCAAAUCUAGUCCACCCUGGCUGGUAGAAUAACCUAAAGGAAAUUGUCAAAUCAGGUGGAGCAAGGCGGCUCAAGCUCUGUCCAGCAAUCUGCUGUAUUUUUCUCUUCUCUCUGUGGGUUUUGAACUAGAAUCUGUUUCCAGUUCAUGUCUAGUUAAAUGUCUUUAUUCUCUUUGGUUUAAUCACCAAGAGCAGAAAGGCAUGAUGAGGGCAUCUCUGAUCAUAAUUAAAUCUAGCCUGUGAAAAUGCUCUUGGCUAGACUCUGCUGGUCUUCAUCGUAAAGCCCGUGGGAAGCUCUCAGGAUCAAUAUUCUGCCUUGUUCGUAAAAUCACCUACGAAGGUCCUGGUUUGGCCCUCUGUGAUGGCUUGCGUGAAACUCUGUGCAGCACCAAGUAGGGCCUGGAUUCCUCUAAACUGUUCAUGUUAUUUUUGGUGCGGGUGAACGAGGUUUGUUCGUGAGAAUCUGACUAUUGAAAACAGGCGGUGCAGAUAAAUGAAUGACUAUCUCUGGUGCAUGCUUUGGGUGUAUUCCAGACGUGUCAACUUGUAAACAAAGGAGGUGUCCACUCUAUGCUGGGGACCGUGUGGUCAGCUGGGUGGCUGUUGAUGGGUGGAGGUUUACACAGCAAUGUCCCAUGGCAGGUACUGCCUGUGACCGCCGCUCCUCCCUGACAGGGUUCCGAUGGGAAUGGGAGAAUUUGAAUUCUGUAUCACAGGCUGGUCUAUUCACUUCAUGCCUUUGGAGGCCUGGUGAUAGAAUUGUCUUUGAAUAGAUGAUUAGUACUUUGACCUUAUGCAUUAAUUGACUGUGCCUAAAGAUGUGAAAAAAUGGAUUUCAGUCUCUUUCAGGGAAAUGCUCAGGAAUUUUCUGAAAAGACAAACCAUAUGGUAAAAUGUGAUGAUUGCCUUCAUGGGGCCUGUGCAUGUGGGUGGAUCUUUGAUGCCAAGAACUGGGUUAAAAGUAAAGAUCUUGGCUAUUGAAGGUGAAGAAUGUGCACUGCCCCCCGGCCACCAUAUCAGCACCCCUGGGGCCCCAGUCUCUGCAGGUUCUGAUUGCAUCUGGUAACCUGGUCCACCCCUGACCUUUCUCACCUCAGAAAAUGGCAUCUCCAUGGAACCAAAAGCUCAAAGAAUCUAUCUUGGAUGCACCCCUUCCCGUCAACUCCCACUACAUCCUAGACAGGCCCCCUUGCCUUUCCAGCACUAGUUCAGUCCCCUCCUCACGGGCUCCUGGGCCCUUCUGAACCUCCUCUGCACAGUUCAUUCUCACAUGAGAGCAAGAGAUCCUCUUAAAAUAUAGUCAGGUCUGGUUCCUCCUCUGCUCAAAAUCCCACGAGUCAAAGCCAAAUUCCCAUAAUGUCUACAAUGAUGGUUCUCCAAUGCUUCCCCCAGGGGACAUUUGGCAGUGUCUAGAGGCAGUUUUGGUUGUCACAAAUGGGGAGCGGGGGAUGCUACUGGAAUCUGGUGGGUAGAGGCCAGGGGUACUGCUAAACUUCCUACAACACACAAGAUAGCACUGUCACAGAGAAGCAGCCAGCCUAACAUGCCAACAGUGACAAAGCUGGGGAGGCUUGACACAGACAGCAAAUGACAGCUGUCUGCCUGGAAUAGUGAAUAGGAUGGAGAAUUCUUGUGUAAUCUCACAGAAAGUGGCCGAAUUUGUUUGUUCUUGUCUUUGCCAUCUCUAUUGCAUAUAGGAAGGGUCAGGAAAAACGAUUGCUUUCAGUUAGGAAUGCAUUGAGCUGCAAUUAAAAAGUCAAGCGUGACUUAAACAAAUCAAUGUAUCAGUGCUCUUUUUUUAAAAAAAAAAAAAAAAACUUUUUCCCCAUAUAAAUGCUUGGAGAUACUUCAGGGCCAUUAUGCUCACCUAAAAGUGUUGUCAUGGAUCCAUGUCCUUGGGACUUCCUGCCCUGCCAUCCUUGACAACUGACCGUCACGGUCCUUGUCACUGGAUGGAUUCCAUGAUCCAGGCAUGAGGAAGGGAAAAGGGGAAGAGCACAAGACCAACCAUGUCUUUCUCUUUUUAAAAUGUGUUUCUAAAAUCUCCGCCCCGUUGCUUCCACUAAUGAGACUCUGGAAAAUAUAGAUUUCAGUUUUGCCACCCUAAACAAAACCCCUUAGUGAAAAUAUCAGCAGGGAACCAUCAGCAUUUGAGAUGCUUCGCAAACACUGCCUAGGGCCGUAAGAGCUCUUUAUGGGCUUCUGGUUAAGAUGAACUUUUUCUUUCUUGAGGUCCUCCGUCUCUGUCUGUGGAACCAUUCUCCUCCUGGUCAGCUUGCCUCCAAAACUCAGCACCACAUGGUCAGUGCUUAGUAAGAAUACAUCUUUUUCCUGAGGGAAAAACUUCAUCACAGAAGCACAAGGUUACAACAGAUCCUCAAGGUCACCCACUUUUCCUAGGUAACAUCUUGGAUCAGCAUUUACCUAAAAUACUUCCAGGAAUGGGAACUCACCAACCUAAAAGACACCUCCAACAUCAGGGGAAUCUCUGUUUCCAACCUUGAACUCAUUGCUUCCAGUUCCAUCCUUGAGGAGAUCUAAUCUUCACUGCUCCCAGGUUAUAGAAGCCCUGGAUGGCUAAUGGCCCAGGAGGGAGGUUGUCUGUAGUUUACAUCUGAGGACACUGAGAUGCUGGCUGUGAGCUUCAGAUGCAGACUUCUUGGUAAUUGAGCAUUCUUUCUACUACAAUCAUAGAGGACAAGAACAGAACACACCGUACCCGUCUCCAGACAUUACACUACAGCACAGCAGGGUCUUGGUGCAAGCUCACAGCCCACAUGUGUACUGCACCCUACUGUGGCCUGGAAUGAGGCUUGGUCUGGGGCUAGAUUUAUGAAAAACACAGGUCCUGACUUGGUGGGAUCCCCAGCCUGGUUGGCUUGGGUGAUGGGAAUGGCAGGUAAGCUGGGUGCUUUGAGAACAUGGUGGAAGUGGAUAUACUCUGGCCUGGGGGCAUCACAGAGGGCUUCCUGGGGUCAGUGACACACUUUGUGUCCACAACCUCCCCUUACUAAGGAUAUGAUGACACCCUGUGCUUCUAACCAGGGGCUCAACUCUUUCGACUCCUACUGGGGUAUUCUUGCAUGCAGUCUUCCCAGAGGUGAUGGGAAGAAGGUGGCCUGAAAUGGCACCUUUAUAGGUGACAAAUUUCCUAAAUCCAGACAGUUGUGAUGGUCGCCCAACUCUCGAGAUAUGCUAAAAACCAUGGCAUUGUGCCCUUUAAAUGGGAGCAUGUUAUAGUGUGUGAAUCACAUCCCAGUAAAGACGUGUUUUUAAAAUUUUGUCGUGAUAUUUAUGAUAUUUUAUUUUAUUUUAUUUUAUUU